rnacentral:rRNA from 1 species
AUGGCUCAGAUUGAACGCUAGCGGGAUGCCUUACACAUGCAAGUCGAACGGCAGCACGGACUUCGGUCUGGUGGCGAGUGGCGAACGGGUGAGUAAUGUAUCGGAACGUGCCUAGUAGCGGGGGAUAACUACGCGAAAGCGUAGCUAAUACCGCAUACGCCCUACGGGGGAAAGCAGGGGAUCGCAAGACCUUGCACUAUUAGAGCGGCCGAUAUCGGAUUAGCUAGUUGGUGGGGUAACGGCUCACCAAGGCGACGAUCCGUAGCUGGUUUGAGAGGACGACCAGCCACACUGGGACUGAGACACGGCCCAGACUCCUACGGGAGGCAGCAGUGGGGAAUUUUGGACAAUGGGGGAAACCCUGAUCCAGCCAUCCCGCGUGUGCGAUGAAGGCCUUCGGGUUGUAAAGCACUUUUGGCAGGAAAGAAACGUCAUGGGUUAAUACCCCGUGAAACUGACGGUACCUGCAGAAUAAGCACCGGCUAACUACGUGCCAGCAGCCGCGGUAAUACGUAGGGUGCAAGCGUUAAUCGGAAUUACUGGGCGUAAAGCGUGCGCAGGCGGUUCGGAAAGAAAGAUGUGAAAUCCCAGAGCUUAACUUUGGAACUGCAUUUUUAACUACCGAGCUAGAGUGUGUCAGAGGGAGGUGGAAUUCCGCGUGUAGCAGUGAAAUGCGUAGAUAUGCGGAGGAACACCGAUGGCGAAGGCAGCCUCCUGGGAUAACACUGACGC